AAAAUAUAAUGUAAGACAAAAAAGUCAAGAUCACAUAUAAAAUGUGAUCUUCACUUAACACUGAUCGAUGUCUUUGCCGUGCAAAGAGCUUGCAGGCAGGAUCAGUGAUUCUUUACAAAUAGUUCAUUGAGAUUUCUUAAAAAGUCAGGGCAGCACAGAGGCUGCUGCUCCGCGAUCCUGCUAGUCUCAGUGGUCUCCUUACAAAGACGGGCGGCUGGAAGCUGCCAGCUCACUUUAAGAGCAGCUUUGUGAAAAACAACCCCAGUGCGCAUGCGCACGCCGCGGCUGCUGUCCGCCCUCCCUGCGCGCCCCCUCCCACCCCGCGCCCGGCUCGCUCGCGGGUACAGUAGGUGUACAGCCAGGGGAAGAAGACACUGGGGCUGCCGGGAGGCUGAACCUGACUUCUCUUCAUUGUAGGCUCCUAUUGUCUUAACUCUGCCUUUCAAGAUUUUGCAACUCUGGCUCAACUCUAACAUCUUCAAGAUGCAGCAAAUUUGACUUUGAUGUGGAGAUUAGAGAUGCACUUUUCUCCUGUGUGGGCUCUGUUAUCCACAUCAGACUGCCCCUCUACAUGGAUGUAUCCUCACCCUACUCAGGCUGGGCCUCUCCACACUGGACUGACCUUUCUGUGAUGCUGUCUUCACCCUGUACCAGCAAAUUCUCCCUUUGUGGACAAUGGUUCAUCUCACUGCCACCGCAGGUGGAAGGGAAAAAGGGAAAACUUGGAAUUGAUUGUUCUGACUUGAAAUGAUCAUAAGAAUGUGAAGUAUUUCUCAGGGAAUCAGAGUUUUGUGUUAAAAUUUAUGCUGCUAAGUUAAUAAAUAC
rnacentral:lncRNA from 1 species